rnacentral:rRNA from 1 species
CCUACGGGAGGCAGCAGCGGGGAAUAUUGGACAAUGGGCGAAAGCCUGAUCCAGCCAUGGCCGCGUGCAGGAAGAAGGCCUUCUGGGUUGUAAACUGCUUUUGCCAGGGGAUAAAAAGUCCCUGCGGGGAAAAUUGAAGGUACCUGGUGAAUAAGCCACGGCUAACUACGUGCCAGCAGCCGCGGUAAU